rnacentral:lncRNA from 1 species
AUACGAAUAAACAGAAACUCCGGUAUCAGGACAUGUUCUUGUCCCCGACUUGGCCAAACGAUUCAGAUUUUUAGGUUUAUUCAAAAACAUAUAUGUUCCCAUUCCAAAUCAUAAGAGCUGAAAAUUCACUAACAAGCAUAAUACUUGAGUUACAAGCUUCAAAGAAAGAAUUCUAGAGGCGAUACAUUUCAUAACAACUUUGAUGGUAAACAAUAUAUCUAUUUUAUCCUCAAAAACCAACAUUAUUUUACUACUUUAAAGUUGGAGGCAUAACCCAAAUUUCAUUAGUGCUUGUAUAUGUAAUCGUGAUUGAGAAUCAAUGAAUAAUUCUGGCCAAACAAUAAUCUUUUCACAUCUCUCUCGAGGAUUAUGUGGAUAUGCAAUAAACUGUUCUCUGAUGGAGUUUGAUGGAGCAAUGUGGAUUAUUGGGUCGGCUGGCUGCCUCCUUCUAUCUUCAAUGAUUUUUUUUUUUUUUUUUUUUUUUGUGUGUGAAAGAGAUGUCAUUCAUUAAUAAAGCUCAACGAACAGUGUAAUAAUGACAUGCCUAUAGGGUUUUCAGAAAAAACCAUUAUACAGAAAAACUAUCCUAGUACGCUCCUCACACAAACAUACCAAAACACCUAAUCUAAGUACAUUCACCUUCUACGAAGAUAAAACCAAAAACAAGAAGAUUAAAAACUCCCAAGCGUUUUCGUUCGACCCCAUUUCCGGACGUACUGGUCUUGGUGGGGUGUUCCGUAAUAAUGAGGAAAGUAGUCUUGGUGUAUUUACAAGAUUUGUUCCCCUUUCUAGCUCACCUCAACAUAGUGAGCUAUUGGCUCUGCUAGAAGGAGUUGGUAUAGCUCUCAUGCACCAAUUGUGUCCUAUUAUCAUCGAGACCGAUUGCCAGAUGUUUGUGGCGGCUAUCUCAACAGGUUCCAUGGACACCUCGUUCUUGGGGUUUCUUCUCACAGAUUUGAAGGAAAAUUUAAGGUAUGCAGCUAAUGCUAGAGUAAUAUAUGUUAAGAGAGAAGCAAAUAGGGUGGCUCAUUCUUUAGCUCAGUUUGCUUUGUAUUCUAUGAGUACUGGUUUUAUGCCAGUUGGUCCUCCGCAUGUGGAGGAACUUAUAACUAUUGAGUGUAAUGAUCUUUGAUCAAUGAAAGAAAUUUCAUUCCCCUACAAAAAAAAAAAAAAAACUCCGAAGCGUUUAUAAACUGUGACAACAAAAUUCUUAUCUUCUUAUCGAUCUCCCGAUCAAGCAGAUGUGAUAAUAGAAGCGGACUUCACCACUUCAAUGAUUUGGCAUCGAGUAUGGAUUUGGUUAUCAAUAAUUUGUUCACAUACUUGCUUAUCUGUUAAAGAGGCUCAUUACCGAUCCGUUUAUUAUUACUGCUCCAUGUUAGAAUGUUGGUUGGGGGCACGUUUUGUGUACAAGUUAGUCGUUCUAUAUUGUACAAUUUUAUAUGAUAUUCCAGCAGGCUAGCUGUGGCAUGUGAUGCAAUGAGACUAUCCUCUGAGUUUAACUGUCAUUUUUAGAAUACAAGUAUUAGUUACGAGGAACAUAAGCCUAUGAAUCUGAUAGAAUCAUUAGGCAAUUAAAAAACACCAUGAGCUAACAACCAUUACAUAAACAAACAACAAGUUCCUAUGACCCCAGCAGAAAGCAACAACAAAUUGAUUGAGAAAUGCAGCUCACGUUGCUCUAUCAUAAACAUUAUGUAUAAUAAGAGUAUUAUAAAAAGUUAGCAAGGAUUCAAACAACUACAUGGCUGCAGGUUAACGAUGUGGAAGUUCACAAAGACGACUCGCAAGGUCUUUGAAUAGGCCCUUCAACAGCUAUACUUACAAAACAGAUUAGUAUAAUUUGUCCAGGACUUCUUACUCAUGUCAUAUACACGAAAAGGAAUUUCCUGUCCAUGAAGGAUGGCGAAAGAGUCGAAUACUGUGAUACUUGGUGCAAGUUCAAUCAUUAUUUGCCUUCUUGCAACUGGUUUGCUUUAUGCUGCAUUGACCAUAAACCCCUUUGAGACAUGUAAGUAUGCAGAUCAUUUCUCUAAUUAGGCCGAUUAAUGCGAUAAUUGCAAUUUUAUCCUUCCUUCUCUAGCCAUAGAUUUUUCUAAUUUGAGUUUGAAACUGAAGGGAGGCACGAGCUAUCAAAUUCGGAUGGUAAAAGCGUUGAAGGGAAAGAAUCUCUGAGACUUCUCUUUAGAAGACUAGUAAGAGGUCUAGCUAGUCCUCCUUAUUCAUGACAAUUCUGAUCAUUUACAAAUAUAUUGCUUUGAACUGCAGUUGGUUAUUAAGUAGUACAGUUGCACAAAUGAUUUCUAUUUUGGUUCUGUAAAUUAUGUGAGGAACAUUAAUGCAUACUGCAGGAGAAGAUCGAUUUCAGCUCCAUAGCAGCGGGUUAUCUUGCCACUCUGAUCUUCACUUUGAACAGUGUUUGGCUAGGAAACCAGUCAUUAUUGACAAGAAUGCAUCAACAGUAUAUAUACCUUCCGAUAAUGAAGCCAAUUCUGAAUACAAGAUUAAGCCAUAUGCAAGAAAAGAGGAUGAGACUGCAAUGAAGGUUGUCACACCUGUAAGAAUAGUACAUGGUAACAUUACUCCACCAGCCUGUGAUUUUAUCCAUAGAGUUCCAGCACUGAUCUUCUCCUCAGGUGGUUUCACAGGAAACCUAUUUCAUGAGUUUAAUGAGAUCAUCAUCCCCUUGUUCCUCACCUGCCACCACUUUCGAUCCCGCAUCCAAUUUGUCGUAACUGACUUUAAACCUUGGUGGGUGAAAAAGUACAGUCGAGUUCUAUCCCAUUUGUCCAGCCAUGCUGUUAUAAAUCCGGUUGAGAAUGGUAGUGUUCACUGCUUUCCUGGAGCUAUCAUGGGGCUGAGAUAUCAUGACAACUUAGCUCUAAAUUAUACAGAAAUUCCAGAAGGAUACUCCAUGCUUGAUUUCAAACAAUUCCUUAGAGAGUCAUAUAUGCUGAAAAUAAAGCAUGUCUCGGAGAUGAAAAGGCAAAGGCCAGGGCUACUACUCCUAUCUCGUCGCGAAACAAGGAAGUUUCUGAAUGAAGAGAAAAUGAUAGAAAUGAUGGAAGCAUUAGGCUUUCAAGUCAUUGCUGCAAUGCCCAAUCAGACGUCAAAUUUGGACACAUUUUCCGGCUUGGUGAACUCGUGCAGUAUCAUUGUUGGAGCUCAUGGUGCUGGCCUUACAAAUGCAGUGUUCUUGCCAACCAAGGCAGUGAUAGUGCAAGUGGUACCUCUGGGGUUAGAUUGGCCUUCAACUGCCUACUAUGGUGAAACAGUAGGUGGAAUGGGGUUGGAAUACUUGGAGUACAAGAUUAAAGCAGAGGAAAGUUCACUCAUUGAUAUCUAUGGUCCGGAUCACCCAGUCAUUACUGAUCCCCAGUCUGUAUUCGUGAAGGGCUAUGAGGCUGCCAGGGCUGUUUAUGUUGAUGGCCAGAAUCUGAAGAUUAACUUGGUCAGGUUCAGGAAAACCCUUGUUGAAGCCAUGAAACUUCUUGGACACUCUACUCCUGAAAAUUAAAGAACCACGUUGGAUAUGGUAGGAUUGUAUUCAUUCUUUCAUAUCUGUCAAAGUCGAUAACAGUUAGUGUUACUUGCUUCCUGCUCUUGAAAAUGAAAUACACAGUCAUCUACUAGUUGGAUAUGUAUAUAAAUAAUGCUAGAUGAACCACUUUUUUAGAUACCAUAUACACCUUACGUGGCAGCUGAUGUAGUAGAAAGACCAGCCUAUCACAGAAUUUCGUAAAUGGCGUGGUUGUAUCACAUCAACUAUCACGUAAGAUGAUGAGAUGUGAUAGCUUUCUUGACUAAUGAAGUGUUUCCUAGUCUAAUAUAAACAAAGAUGCAAUGGUUAAACCACAUUCCCCUUUAAAUCUAAUGCGUUUCCUGGUCUUUAUUGGGGAGUCAUUCAAGCAAGACAAAGAUGACCAUGAUCAGAUUGAAAACAGGCUAGUGAAAAGAGAGGCUUGAGGAAAGACUCUACGCCAGAUGGUAAAUACUACUGCUCGAAGUCCAAGUAUGAGGAUUCUGCUUACUGCACCAAGUAGAAAGCUUUCCAGCAAAAGGUAAAGAAAUGAGACCACCAAAGUUCAAGAAUUGCAUAAACAGGGGCAUAUAUUUUCGCAUGCUGGGGCUGGCACCUACUCUUUUUCUUGUAAAAUUCAAGAUGCAGUUGAAAUCACCCAUUAGAACCCCCAAGGUUUAUCAUUGAUGGGUUUAUUAUGGGUUGGCAACAGAAAAUGUUAACUUUGUUACAUUCCAACAUAAAAUUGGGCCUCCACAAUGACCAUAGGAGAGAACAAAUUCAGCAACACAGAAGGGAAACUUACUUAAAAUUGGUUGCUUCAUCCUCUAGUCUUGUAUCCAAAAAAUACAAAAAUAUAUACGCAGCAAGCAGCCAUAGUAGAAUUGAAUUUUGAUCCAUUAAACCCUGUCAAGCAGCACUAAAUUUCCCAGAAACUGUCUUCAUUAUAAUGAACCAGGAGAUGAAAGAAUGAAUUGUCUUAAAGACCAAGCUUUGUGGAGCUGCGGAAGCUUGGUCCAGCAGCAGCAUGCUUUCCAAUUGAAGUAAAUCAGAGCGAAGGAACACACUGAUAAAUAAGAACAAUCUGGUUCUUAGAUUGUUCAUAUGUCUUUCCAAUAAUCAAACUUGGGAAUGCAAGAAGGCAAUCCAAAAAUCUUGUUAAAAUAUUUUGGCUCACAAUGGGAUUCGUUCGAUAACAAUCAAUAACACACGAAGUGAAGCCAUAUUUAGGCUUUACACCUACAAGUACAGACGAUACAAGGGUGGGUACCACAUGAUUCCCAACUAUAAACCAAAUUUACCAAUCGCCAACAACAGCAAAGUCCUUUUACAAAGUAUAACAAUAAAACCCAGAGAAAGAGAUCACUGAAGUAAUAAAACUGGAAGUGAUAGACAACAUACCUGGAUCUUGAGUUGUGAGAAAACAACAAAAACUUACAUGGUGUCUGGUCCAUUAACAAAGAAGAUAAAAAGUGGAAUGGAUUAAAUUCUCUCGCCUCAAAACAGAAUGUAACAUGUUAAAAAGUAAAAGUCAAGUACACUUGAUAGAUCAGGGGAUUUGUAAAAGCUACCAGUUUUAAAACCAAAUCAACAGCCCUGGUACACAAAUACAAAUCGAUCACAUGAAAAGAGAAAGCCAAAGUGAAAUUUUUAACAAAAUGUUAAACAAAAUAAAAAUACUGCCAGUAAAAUCAUAAAUAUUAGAAGUUAUUUGUACAAGACAAGCUCGCAGGAUUUCAGCUUUUCCCAAAAAUCUACAACUCAAGCAGUGUUGAAGUCAGGGUAGACUAGCGCAAAAUGAGCUCCAAAGUAGCAGCUCACGAGCAAAAUGCAUCAGUGGGCAAACACGUCUUCCAUCAUUCAAAUAGUUUUUCUGAUGAGCCUUGUAUUCAAUAUCUGUUGUGGAAAGACAAGGCAUGUCACUAUUUCCAGGGAUUGAUGGAAAAGAGAAUUUUUCACCGUUUAGACCUCCUGCCAUUCUGGCCUUCACCUUUUUGUUCUGCUAGCCUUGACUUUGAACCACUGCCAUGCACAGAUGGAGGCCUAUCAUGAACUGUACUUGUAGAAUCUCGUGAUGGCCAUGGCUGCCCGAUCUGCCCCCACUGCCGUGUUGGACUAGCAUGAACUCUAGAAGAUCCAAAUCUAGAACCAGAUAACAUUUGGUCCCUAAGACCCUUCGAUGAUUUAUAACCUUGCAUUUCUUCUCCAUAACCUUUUGCUUGCAUUUGCCUCUCUAGGUCGGGAAAGCUGCUGUCCCUAUCUACUCCAUCUCCUGAAUUUUGGAGCCUUUCAGUCUGCAUGCCCCAUUCCAAUCCAUCUGAUAUGCUCCUUUGCAAAGAAGUGCUUUUUCUGGGUGGCUUUCCUGAUAUGGACUUCCUCCCUUUGACUUCUUCAUGGUCAUGUGGAGCCCAUCUUAGAUCCCGAGCAGCCCCAGAAGCAUGAUUCCAAUUAUAGCUUUUGUUGUUGUUGCCCAUACUUAGUUCUAUGGAAUGCAAAUCACUUUCAGCAGAAUCAUCUUCGCAUUCUACUCCAUCUUCAACUUCUCCAUCCUCGUCUUUUUCUUCAUCCUGAUGAGAACCGAGGCGAGUUCUACCUAAAUAUGCAGCAAUAUCUUCAUCAAUCAUAUGAGCAGAACCAUGUCCUUUUUCUUUGGUUCUCUUACUUCCCAUAAAGGCUUCAAGUUGACUCCUCAACAUAUCAACAGCAGCAUUCUUCUCUUCAAUCUGAUAUUUUGCCUCUGAGAGUUUCUCUUGAGCUCUCCCUUCUCGCAAAACAUCAGAGAACUGCAUCAUCUCCCGUUCCUUUUCAGCCUCUUCACAAACUUUUGCAGACUCCCACUUCAGUUCCUCUGCUUCAACCUUAUCUUCAUUGAUAUCCCUCGCUAAUUCGUCACACACUUGUUCCAUGAUCUCUCUCGUUCUCUUCUCACUCUCAAGAUCUUUGACUGCCUUGACGAGAGAUGCUUUAGUCUCUGCCAGUUCUUUCCCCAGUUUCUUGUUCAAGCUUUCAAGCCUCCUUCUCAGUUUUCUCUCUACCUCAAGUUCUCCUGCAACAGACUCAAUGGCAGCCUCAACGACUUUGUGUUCCUUGCUUUUCCAAGCUGCCUUUUCUUCAGCGAAACACUUCAUGAGAUAGGCCAUCUCAUUCUGCUCUGAGCGCUGUUCAUGGAUAUGCUGAUUCACCAGCAAACGAGCCCUCUCAAGCUCAGUAUGUAAGGCUGAGAUAAGGGCCAUGCUAGAUGAAGGUUGUUCUUCAUUACCCCAAAUGCGGUGUAUAAUUUUCAGUAGCUCUUUUGACGUUGUCAGAGCAUUACUAACGUCCUUCAAGCGUGGCUUGAUUCCAACAGUUGAAGCACUAGGAGUCUGAGCUCUUGAUCUAGUUGGUGUCUGGGCUCUCGAUCGAGUCUCAACCUGUAUUGCAAACAGAGAAAAAUAAUAAUGAUAUAUCACUUUUGAGAUAUAAAUCCUCAGCCAUCAACUCCUAAGAUGCUAAAUACUGAUAAUUUCACAACUAGCAAGAAGGAAGCACAGUCCUUUACUUGGAACAAAACACAAAAUAAAAGCAACAUACCUCCAUCAAGCUGCCAUGUCCAUGGGAAUCCAAUAUUCCAGAAUGUUGAUCUGUAAGCCUGAGCCUCUGUGAAAUAGAGGAUGUCCUUCUGUGGAAGCUACCUGUUCCAGAUCGAUCCAUCCUCUACAACAUAACAGUUAACCAGGGUCAAUCAACCACAUUCGAUCUCAUAGAUCAUACAAUCGAUUAGGUGCCUCCCAAGAUCACAUGAACUAAUAAACUUCCCAUUUCUCUCGAAUCAUUUCAUUACAAAAACAGGGUUUUCGAGAGCGACAUGCUUAAAAUCCAAACUCAACCAAACCACUGCCUAAUUUAAAUGUCAAUUAUUUAUUUGUAGACUACCAAAAUCACAAAAAAGUACAAAACAUUUUCAAUCAGAUUCUCUCAAAUUUCUCACCAACCAAACAAAA